rnacentral:rRNA from 1 species
UACGAAGGGGGCUAGCGUUGCUCGGAAUCACUGGGCGUAAAGCGCACGUAGGCGGAUCGUUAAGUCGGAGGUGAAAUCCUGGAGCUCAACUCCAGAACUGCCUUCGAUACUGCCGGGCUAGAGUCCGGAAGAGGCGAGUGGAACUCCUGGUGUAGCGGUGGAAUGCGCAGAUAUCAGGAAGAACACCAACGGCGAAGGCAGCUCGCUGGGACGGUACUGACGCUGAGACGCGAAAGCGUGGGGAGCGAACAGG